UCCAGACUCCUACGGGAGGCAGCAGUGGGGGAUAUUGCACAAUGGGGGGAACCCUGAUGCAGCGACGCCGCGUGGGUGAAGGAGCGUUUCGGCGCGUAAAGCCCUAUCGGCAGGGAAGAAGGAGGACGGUACCUGACUAAGAAGCCCCGGCUAACUACGUGCCAGCAGCCGCGGUAAUACGUAGGGGGCAAGCGUUAUCCGGAUUUACUGGGUGUAAAGGGGGCGCAGACGGCAGCGCAAGCCAGGAGUGAAAGCCCGGGGCCCAACCCCGGGACUGCUCUUGGAACUGCGCGGCUGGAGUGCAGGAGGGGCAGGCGGAAUUCCUGGUGUAGCGGUGAAAUGCGUAGAUAUCAGGAGGAACACCGGUGGCGAAGGCGGCCUGCUGGACUGCGACUGACGUUGAGGCCCGAAAGCGUGGGAAGCAAACAGGAUUAGAUACCCGCGUAGC
rnacentral:rRNA from 1 species